rnacentral:rRNA from 1 species
UACGGAGGGGGCUAGCGUUGUUCGGAAUUACUGGGCGUAAAGCGCACGUAGGCGGCUUUGUAAGUUAGAGGUGAAAGCCUGGGGCUCAACUCCAGAAUUGCCUUUAAGACUGCAUCGCUUGAAUCGCGGAGAGGUGAGUGGAAUUCCGAGUGUAGAGGUGAAAUUCGUAGAUAUUAGGAAGAACACCAGUGGCGAAGGCGGCUCACUGGUCCGGUACUGACGCUGAGGUGCGAAAGCGUGGGGAGCAAACAGG